rnacentral:rRNA from 1 species
UACGUAGGUGGCAAGCGUUGUCCGGAUUUACUGGGUGUAAAGGGCGUGCAGCCGGGCUGACAAGUCAGAUGUGAAAUCCCGCGGCUCAACCGCGGAACUGCAUUUGAAACUGUCAGUCUUGAGUACCGGAGAGGUCAUCGGAAUUCCUUGUGUAGCGGUGAAAUACGUAGAUAUAAGGAAGAACACCAGUGGCGAAGGCGGAUGACUGGACGGCAACUGACGGUGAGGCGCGAAAGCGUGGGGAGCAAACAGG